CAUAUCAAUAAGCGGAGGAAAAGAAACCAACAGGGAUUGCCUCAGUAACGGCGAGUGAAGCGGCAACAGCUCAAAUUUGAAAUCUGGCCCUCUCAGGGUCCGAGUUGUAAUUUGUAGAGGGUGCUUUGGCGUCGGCCGUGGUCUAAGUUCCUUGGAACAGGACGUCACAGAGGGUGAGAAUCCCGUACGUGGCCGCCGGUCUUCGCCGUGUAAAGCCCCUUCGACGAGUCGAGUUGUUUGGGAAUGCAGCUCUAAAUGGGAGAUAAAUUUCUUCUAAAGCUAAAUAUUGGCCAGAGACCGAUAGCGCACAAGUAGAGUGAUCGAAAGAUGAAAAGCACUUUGGAAAGAGAGUCAAAAAGCACGUGAAAUUGUUGAAAGGGAAGCGCUUGCAGCCAGACGUGCCCGCAGUUGCUCACCUGGGCUUUUGCCCGGGGCAUUCUUCUGCGGGCAGGCCAGCAUCAGUCCGGGCGGUUGGAUAAAGGCCUCUAUCACGUACCACCCUUCGGGGUGUCCUUAUAGGGGAGGCGCAACACGGCCAGCCUGGACUGAGGACCGCGCAUUUGCUAGGAUGCUGGCGUAAUGGCUGUAAGCGGCCCGUCUUGAAACACGGACCAAGGAGUCUAACAUCUAUGCGAGUGUUUGGGUGUAAAGCCCGGGCGCGCAAUGAAAGUGAACGGAGGUGGGAACCCCUCGGGGUGCACCAUCGACCGAUCCUGAAGUCUUCGGAUGGAUUUGAGUAAGAGCAUAGCUGUUGGGACCCGAAAGAUGGUGAACUAUGCCUGAAUAGGGUGAAGCCAGGGGAAACCCUGGUGGAGGCUCGCAGCGGUUCUGACGUGCAAAUCGAUCGUCAAAUUUGGGCAUAGGGGCGAAAGACUA
rnacentral:rRNA from 2 species